rnacentral:rRNA from 1 species
UGGGGUAUAUUGCACAAUGGGCGCAAGCCUGAUGCAGCCAUGCCGCGUGUGUGAAGAAGGUCUUCGGGUUGUAAAGCACUUUCAGCGGGGAGGAAGGCGUUAAGGUUAAUAACCUUGGCGAUUGACGUUACCCGCAGAAGAAGCACCGGCUAACUCCGUGCCAGCAGUCGCGGUAAUACGGAGGGUGCAAGCGUUAAUCGGAAUUACUUGGCGUAAAGCGCACGCAGGCGGUCUGUCAAGUCAGAUGUGAAAUCCCCGGGCUCAAACUGGGAAAUGGAUUAGAAACUAGCGAGGUAGAGUGUGGGGGAGGGGGGUAGAAUUCGAGGUGUAGCGGUGAAAUGCGUGGAGAUCUGGAGGAAAACCGGUGGCGAGGGCGGCCCCCUGGACAAAGACUGACGCUCAGGUGCGAAAGCGUGGGGAGCAAACAGG